GAUGAACGCUGGCGGCGUGCCUAAUACAUGCAAGUCGAGCGAACGGACGAGAAGCUUGCUUUUCUGAUGUUAGCGGCGGACGGGUGGGUAACACGUGGAUAACCUACCUAUAAGACUGGGAUAACUUCGGGAAACCGGAGCUAAUAUCGGAUAAUAUUUUGAACCGCAUGGUUCAAAAGUGAAAGACGGUCUUGCUGUCACUUAUAGAUGGAUCCGCGCUGCAUUAGCUAGUUGGUAAGGUAACGGCUUACCAAGGCAACGAUGCAUAGCCGACCUGAGAGGGUGAUCGGCCACACUGGAACUGAGACACGGUCCAGACUCCUACGGGAGGCAGCAGUAGGGAAUCUUCCGCAAUGGGCGAAAGCCUGACGGAGCAACGCCGCGUGAGUGAUGAAGGUCUUCGGAUCGUAAAACUCUGUUAUUAGGGAAGAACAUAUGUGUAAGUAACUGUGCACAUCUUGACGGUACCUAAUCAGAAAGCCACGGCUAACUACGUG
rnacentral:rRNA from 1 species